rnacentral:rRNA from 1 species
AGCGAACGCUGGCGGCAGGCCUAACACAUGCAAGUCGAACGGACCCUUCGGGGUUAGUGGCGGACGGGUGAGUAACACGUGGGAACGUGCCUUUAGGUUCGGAAUAGCUCCUGGAAACGGGUGGUAAUGCCGAAUGUGCCCUUCGGGGGAAAGAUUUAUCGCCUUUAGAGCGGCCCGCGUCUGAUUAGCUAGUUGGUGAGGUAACGGCUCACCAAGGCGACGAUCAGUAGCUGGUCUGAGAGGAUGACCAGCCACACUGGGACUGAGACACGGCCCAGACUCCUACGGGAGGCAGCAGUGGGGAAUCUUGCGCAAUGGGCGAAAGCCUGACGCAGCCAUGACGCGUGAAUGAUGAAGGUCUUAGGAUUGUAAAAUUCUUUCACCGGGGACGAUAAUGACGGUACCCGGAGAAGAAGCCCCGGCUAACUUCGUG